ACAGUGCAGCUGGGAGCCUAAUGCAGACACUAGGAAUAGAAGAAAGUCCCAACAUCGCCAGUGCUCAACCCUCCCUUCAACAACAGGGAGCAGAGAAGAUAAAUGCCUUGAAGACAAGCGAGCAUGGAAAAGAAGAAGAAGAAUACGAAGAAAAUAAGUUUGUUAUGUGCCUAUGGAAAGGGUUUUAUAGGUGCCUCAUAACCUAG
rnacentral:lncRNA from 1 species